GGUUAAGCGACUAAGCGUACACGGUGGAUGCCCUGGCAGUCAGAGGCGAUGAAGGACGUGCUAAUCUGCGAUAAGCGUCGGUAAGGUGAUAUGAACCGUUAUAACCGGCGAUUUCCGAAUGGGGAAACCCAGUGUGUUUCGACACACUAUCAUUAACUGAAUCCAUAGGUUAAUGAGGCGAACCGGGGGAACUGAAACAUCUAAGUACCCCGAGGAAAAGAAAUCAACCGAGAUUCCCCCAGUAGCGGCGAGCGAACGGGGAGCAGCCCAGAGCCUGAAUCAGUGUGUGUGUUAGUGGAAGCGUCUGGAAAGGCGCGCGAUACAGGGUGACAGCCCCGUACACAAAAAUGCACAUGCUGUGAGCUCGAUGAGUAGGGCGGGACACGUGGUAUCCUGUCUGAAUAUGGGGGGACCAUCCUCCAAGGCUAAAUACUCCUGACUGACCGAUAGUGAACCAGUACCGUGAGGGAAAGGCGAAAAGAACCCCGGCGAGGGGAGUGAAAAAGAACCUGAAACCGUGUACGUACAAGCAGUGGGAGCACGCUUCGGCGUGUGACUGCGUACCUUUUGUAUAAUGGGUCAGCGACUUAUAUUCUGUAGCAAGGUUAACCGAAUAGGGGAGCCGAAGGGAAACCGAGUCUUAACUGGGCGUUAAGUUGCAGGGUAUAGACCCGAAACCCGGUGAUCUAGCCAUGGGCAGGUUGAAGGUUGGGUAACACUAACUGGAGGACCGAACCGACUAAUGUUGAAAAAUUAGCGGAUGACUUGUGGCUGGGGGUGAAAGGCCAAUCAAACCGGGAGAUAGCUGGUUCUCCCCGAAAGCUAUUUAGGUAGCGCCUCGUGAAUUCAUCUCCGGGGGUAGAGCACUGUUUCGGCAAGGGGGUCAUCCCGACUUACCAACCCGAUGCAAACUGCGAAUACCGGAGAAUGUUAUCACGGGAGACACACGGCGGGUGCUAACGUCCGUCGUGAAGAGGGAAACAACCCAGACCGCCAGCUAAGGUCCCAAAGUCAUGGUUAAGUGGGAAACGAUGUGGGAAGGCCCAGACAGCCAGGAUGUUGGCUUAGAAGCAGCCAUCAUUUAAAGAAAGCGUAAUAGCUCACUGGUCGAGUCGGCCUGCGCGGAAGAUGUAACGGGGCUAAACCAUGCACCGAAGCUGCGGCAGCGACGCUGAUGCGUUGUUGGGUAGGGGAGCGUUCUGUAAGCCUGCGAAGGUGUGCUGUGAGGCAUGCUGGAGGUAUCAGAAGUGCGAAUGCUGACAUAAGUAACGAUAAAGCGGGUGAAAAGCCCGCUCGCCGGAAGACCAAGGGUUCCUGUCCAACGUUAAUCGGGGCAGGGUGAGUCGACCCCUAAGGCGAGGCCGAAAGGCGUAGUCGAUGGGAAACAGGUUAAUAUUCCUGUACUUGGUGUUACUGCGAAGGGG
rnacentral:rRNA from 1 species